GGAGUUAGCCGGUGCUUCUUCUGCGAGUAACGUCACAGAUGUAAGGUAUUAACUUACACCCUUUCCUCCUCGCUGAAAGUGCUUUACAACCCGAAGGCCUUCUUCACACACGCGGCAUGGCUGCAUCAGGGUUUCCCCCAUUGUGCAAUAUUCCCCACUGCUGCCUCCCGUAGGAGUCUGGGCCGUGUCUCAGUCCCAGUGUGGCUGAUCAUCCUCUCAGACCAGCUAGGGAUCGUCGCCUAGGUGAGCCUUUACCUCACCUACUAGCUAAUCCCACCUGGGCUUAUCCAUCAGCGCAAGGCCCGAAGGUCCCCUGCUUUCCCCCGUAGGGCGUAUGCGGUAUUAGCAGUCGUUUCCAACUGUUAUCCCCCACAAAUGGGCAAAUUACCAGGCAUUACUCACCCGUCCGCCGCUCGUCAUCUUCAAAAGCAAGCUUUUGAAAUGUUACCGCUCGACUUGCAUGUGUUAGGCCUGCCGCCACGCGUCAUCUGAGCCGAGAUACAACUACUCGA
rnacentral:rRNA from 1 species